rnacentral:rRNA from 1 species
GCGGUGGAUGAUGUGGAUUAAUUCGAUGCAACGCGAAAACCUUACCUACCCUUGACAUGUCUGGAACCUUGGUGAGAGCCGAGGGUGCCUUCGGGAGCCAGAACACAGGUGCUGCAUGGCUGUCGUCAGCUCGUGUCGUGAGAUGUUGGGUUAAGUCCCGCAACGAGCGCAACCCUUGUCACUAGUUGCCAUCAUUGGUUGGGCACUCUAGUGAGACUGCCGGUGACAAACCGGAGGAAGGUGGGGACGACGUCAAGUCCUCAUGGCCUUUAUGCCCAGGGCUACACACGUGCUACAAUGGAUCGUACAAAGGGUCGCGAACCCGCGAGGGGGGAGCCAAUCCCAAAAACCGGUCCUCAGUUCGGAUUGGAGUCUGCAACUCGACUCCAUGAAGUUGGAAUCGCUAGUAAUCGUGGAUCAGCAUGCCACGGUGAAUACGUUCCCGGGCCUU